UACGGGGGGGGCAAGCGUUGUUCGGAAUUACUGGGCGUAAAGGGCUCGUAGGCGGCCAACUAAGUCAGACGUGAAAUCCCUCGGCUUAACCGGGGAACUGCGUCUGAUACUGGAUGGCUUGAAUCCGGGAGAGGGAUGCGGAAUUCCAGGUGUAGCGGUGAAAUGCGUAGAUAUCUGGAGGAACACCGGUGGCGAAGGCGGCAUCCUGGACCGGCAUUGACGCUGAGGAGCGAAAGCGUGGGGAGCAAACAGG
rnacentral:rRNA from 1 species